AGUUUUAUUUAAAGGUUAUAAAUUAGAAUAAAUAAAUAAAUGAGGAAACACUAUAUAUACAGUUUAGUUUGAUAAGUUAGUUAAGUGAUUAGUAACUAAAACUAAUAAUAAAUGUGAAAUGCAAAACUAAUAAUAAAUGUGAAAUGCAUUUCUCGAAUUAGAAUUCUUAUUUUCGAAUUUUCUUUUAUUUUAGAGGUUUAUAAAAUUUUGAAAUGCGAGGACAAAAUCUGGAAGCAUGCAGUAAUAAAGACAGUCCUUUUAAAGGAUAAUAAAGAACUGUGAAUAAUAUUAGAUAAUUCGCAUCAUUGGCCUGCAUCUUUGCAUUCAUGCAUUCACGACUAAAUAUUAUCAUGCGUUUGUUAAAUUGCUAUAUUGUGCUGCACUAUUGUUGCGAUUAAAAUUUUGCUUGAUCACGUGUGUUGUGAUAUUGUUGUGCCUUAUUUGUGUGGAAUUGAGAUGAAGUGGGUCACCAUGGAUUUAUGAGGGCAGUCUACGAGACCGUUGGCCAUAUGGGAGAUCAGCGCCCCGUGUGCACAUGAUGAUAUGAUAUGGAUAAUAUGGAUAAACCACAGGGUGACCUCCUAUUGGUAUGAAAAAGAAAAGAGAGAAUGAAAAAAACAAUGAGAGGGCUGGUCAAGUGAGAAUUAGACCGGUCGGUCAUGUAUGGGGGAUUGGCUCCUUGGUGCACAUGUUAUGAGAGGAUAGACCAUGUCGGAGGAUGGCUCAUUGGGAGUUUCAGUGACACCACUGACUAAUUUUCACGUGAUGUGAUUGUAUAAAGGUAAUAGGAAGAAAGGAGAAUCCUAUGAACCCGACUGAGUCGUAAGAUCAAAACUAGGAACUUGUUAAUAGUUAUGCUAACCAUGUAAAUGUAAAGGACCGUAGAUUAUGGAGUUCCGCAAUUGUAUUUCAAAUAGGUUGUAAAUGAAUAACUAGAGUACAUACUUUAAUUAUAUAAAGUGUACUUUUGAUAUGUUUAUGGAAUAAAGUUAUUGGGCUCGAAGCCACAAUUAUAUUUA